AUAUUUUUUAAAGUAGACAACCUAGGGUAUUUAAUAUGUGGUAUGUCCAGUCUUUUUUAGUAGCCACUUAGUCACAAACACUGGCCAAAGUUAGCAUUUAUAUUUGUGUGUUAAAAAUGCAAAAAACUAUUAUCAACGCUAACUUUUGCAAUACCUUGGGUUGUCUUUUUUUUUGCAAAUGGUAUGCCAUUAUGGGGGUAGUUCUCAUUCCUGGGCUACCAUACGCUCUCAAAGGCAACAUAACCAAUCUGACAAAUUUCAAUGUGAAAAAACCAGAAAAUCAAGCCUUUUAUUUGACCCUGUAACUUUCAAAUACACUAUAAAAACUGUACAUGGCUGAUAUCAGCAUAUCUAAUGGCUAAUGUAGAAACUCACCUAUUGAGGCUUGCCUUGACGUGGCAGGUGAGCUUAUAUAUUCAAAUGGCCAUUGGAAUAAAACUAAAGAGCCUCCAUUUUGUUUCAAUGUAAAUAGGGAUUCAGGCCAGAGCGCAGGUAACUUUCUUUUUGUUUUUACAAUGUAUUUUGAGCUGUUGGAUAGUAAGCUACUGCUGCUCUAAGCGCAGUGCUUUAUCUUUGUGUUUAUACAUACAUACAUGCAUACUUGGAUGGUUGAAGAGGCAAGUAGGGAAAUGCCGCAGGUGAAUUAUGAGUUUUUUUUUUUUCCAGUUUUGUUUAUGUGUAUAUAGUGUCAAUCACUUCCCAGAUUUUUAAUCAAUCAUGCCACCUCAAGAUCACAUUUAGUACAACAAGAGUUGCAGAGCUACGAUUACCUCCCCCUGAUUUAGUUAAUGGUAGAUGAUAGCAAACAUUUUCAUGCAUUCUAAAUACCAGCUUAUCACUGCUCUUCAUCCCUUUAACAUGUGUGCAUGUUCAUAUUGUUGUCAAAAUAAAGAUAAGCCAAAACUCAAUUCAGGCACCCAUCAUUACUGAAAAUUUUGAUUAGAAGAUUGGACAUUUACUCAGCAGUCUACUAGACUUCCUGUGUCUUUAUGUUGAUUCAAAUUGAAUAUGAAAGAGACUAUUUCACAGGUGUUUCAUGUAGGUGUGCAGACACAGCCAUAUUACUACAUUGGAAGCACUUUAAAUCUAAGUGUCUUAUUAUUCAGCUUAGUAAUAGUGUGUAUAGAACUUUAAUUAUUUUUUUUUGUGUGAGGUGACAUUUAAUUUUCUAACUGAC